rnacentral:rRNA from 1 species
GACGAACGCUGGCGGCGUGCUUAACACAUGCAAGUCGAACGGAAAGGCCCUGCUUUUGUGGGGUGCUCGAGUGGCGAACGGGUGAGUAACACGUGAGUAACCUGCCCUUGACUUUGGGAUAACUUCAGGAAACUGGGGCUAAUACCGGAUAGGAGCUCCUGCUGCAUGGUGGGGGUUGGAAAGUUUCGGCGGUUGGGGAUGGACUCGCGGCUUAUCAGCUUGUUGGUGGGGUAGUGGCUUACCAAGGCUUUGACGGGUAGCCGGCCUGAGAGGGUGACCGGCCACAUUGGGACUGAGAUACGGCCCAGACUCCUCCGGGAGGCAGCAGUGGGGAAUAUUGCACAAUGGGCGGAAGCCUGAUGCAGCAACGCCGCGUGCGGGAUGACGGCCUUCGGGUUGUAAACCGCUUUCGCCUGUGACGAAGCGUGAGUGACGGUAAUGGGUAAAGAAGCACCGGCUAGCUACGUG